rnacentral:rRNA from 1 species
AUUGAACGCUGGCGGCAGGCCUAACACAUGCAAGUCGAGCGGCAGCGGGAAAGUAGCUUGCUACUUUUGCCGGCGAGCGGCGGACGGGUGAGUAAUGCCUGGGAAAUUGCCCAGUCGAGGGGGAUAACAGUUAGAAACGACUGCUAAUACCGCAUACGCCCUACGGGGGAAAGCAGGGGACCUUCGGGCCUUGCGCGAUUGGAUAUGCCCAGGUGGGAUUAGCUAGUUGGUGAGGUAAUGGCUCACCAAGGCGACGAUCCCUAGCUGGUCGGAGAGGAUGAUCAGCCACACUGGAACUGAGACACGGUCCAGACUCCUACGGGAGGCAGCAGUGGGGAAUAUUGCACAAUGGGGGAAACCCUGAUGCAGCCAUGCCGCGUGUGUGAAGAAGGCCUUCGGGUUGUAAAGCACUUUCAGCGAGGAGGAAAGGUUGAUGCCUAAUACGUAUCAACUGUGACGUUACUCGCAGAAGAAGCACCGGCUAACUCCGUGCCAGCAGCCGCCGUAAGAC